rnacentral:rRNA from 1 species
GACGAACGCUGGCGGCGUGCUUAACACAUGCAAGUCGAACGGGCCUUGUCCCCUUUUUUUGGGGGUGGGGUUAGUGGCGAACGGGUGAGUAACACGUGAGUAACCUGCCCCUCACUUCUGGAUAACCGCUUGAAAGGGUGGCUAAUACGGGGUGUUCUGGCCUGCUCGCAUGGGUGGGUUUGGAAAGAUUCGACCGGUUUUGGUUGUUUUGGUGGGGGAUGGGCUCGCGGCCUAUCAGCUUGUUGGUGGGGUGAUGGCCUGCCAAGGCUUUGACGGGUAGCCGGCCUGAGAGGGUGGGCGGUCACACUGGGACUGAGACACGGCCCAGACUCCUACGGGAGGCAGCAGUGGGGAAUAUUGCACAAUGGGCGCAAGCCUGAUGCAGCGACGCCGCGUGAGGGAUGGAGGCCUUCGGGUUGUGAACCUCUUUCGCCAGUGAAGAAGGUCCUGCUCUUUGUGGUGGGGUUGACGGUAGCGGGGUUAAUGAAGCGCCGGCUAACUACGUG